UGGCAAAUGCUUCAACAUUUUGUCCAGCAAUCUAAACAAACGAAUCUCCCCGCCUUCGGAGUAAAAAGUUUCGUUAGUCACUAAACUUAGUACAAUGUCAUGUUGUAGUCACUGAACUUUGUUUUGCUGUUGAAUGCUCACUGAACUUACAAACCCAUCUCUCCAUCCAUCAUUCCCCACAAAGCCGUUUGAAAUUGUCUGAUCUGGCUUGAUGGAAUUCCACGUGGCAUUCAAUGGUGUCAAAACUGAUUCACGGUGGACGUGUGUUUCAGAAUACACGAUUUUAUUCCAUUCAAAGCUGAAACCCAAUUUCCCCAAUUCACUAUCCCUGCCUCGCAUGAACCCUAAUUCAAUUUCCCGCACUUCAAAACAUCUGGAUCGAACACAUAGUCGCUUGCCAGAAGUUCUUCGCCUUCUAAUGUACACCAUCCCUAGCUGUAGGUGGUUUUCAAUCCAUAAACUUUGAACCACAUCCCAGUUACAUAAACGUUCAAAACGCGAUGGAGGAAACUACAAGAGCCCAACCAACCGUGAACGGUGAAGGGUAAACUGAUAGGUGCAAGAGGGAAGGGCUCACCGAGCGAUAACGUGCGUGAAGAACAUCAAAUGCUGUGAAGAUUUUGUCAAUUGAACAGAAUGGCUGAUUAAUACUUGAACCGAAUGGCAGCUUCUUGGGGCUCAUUUGCUGUGAAGAUUUUGUCAAUUGAAAUUGGAAAAUUUUUGUUUUGUAUGUUAAAUGUCAGCAUAUAUUAGAACCUUUCUUUUGAUUCACAAUUGGUGUCUUGUAAUGAGAGCGAAGUGUUGCAUGUUUGUAAAACUUUCUUUUGACAUCUCAUUUGGAGUCUAUAUGUUUUGUUAAUGUAUUUUAGAUGUCCUCCAAUGGAUUUUGUAAUCUUUUGUAAGUUUGUUGCUGGCAGUAAAUUUUAAACUUUUGACAAGGCAUUGUGAAUUGGGUGUAGGCCUUUUGAUGAUGGGAUAUCAAUGAAAUACACUGGUUUUUGUCCA